rnacentral:pre_miRNA from 1 species
UGGUGGUGGUGAUGGUGGUGGUGGUGGUGAUGGUGGUGGUGAUGGUGGUGAUGGGAGACUGAAGACUGACGAUCAAUCCAGGCUUUUUUCAACUGGUUAGGGAAUUCAUCAUCAUCAUCAUCAUCAUCAUCAUCAUCAUCAUCA